rnacentral:rRNA from 1 species
AUACGGAGGGUGCAAGCGUUCCUCGGAAUCACUGGGCGUAAAGCGCGCGCAGGCGGCUAUUUAAGUUGGAUGUGAAAGCCUACGGCUCAACCGUAGAACUGCAUCCAAAACUAUUUAGCUAGAGUGUGGGAGAGGAAGAUGGAAUUAGUUGUGUAGGGGUAAAAUCCGUAGAGAUAACUAGGAAUACCAAAAGCGAAGGCAAUCUUCUGGAACACUACUGACGCUGAGGCGCGAAGGCGUGGGGAGCAAACAGGAUUAGAUACCCUAGUAGUCC